rnacentral:rRNA from 1 species
AGAGUUUGAGUCCUGGCGUCAGGACGAACGCUGGCGGCGUGCUUAACACAUGCAAGUCGAACGGGAAGCUUUGACAAGUUUACUUAGAUAAGCGGACAGUGGCGAACGGGUGAGUAACGCGUAGGUAACCAACCUCAUGCUGGGGGAUAGCCUUUGGAAACGAAGAGUAAUACCGCAUAAGACCACACUGUCGCAUGACAGAGAGGUAAAAGAUUUAUCGGCAUGAGACGGACCUGCGUACCAUUAGAUAGUUGGUGAGGUAACGGCCCACCAAGUCGACGAUGGUUAGCCGACCUGAGAGGGUGAUCGGCCACAUUGGGACUGAGACACGGCCCAGACUCCUACGGGAGGCAGCAGUGGGGAAUAUUGGGCAAUGGGCGCAAGCCUGACCCAGCAACGCCGCGUGAAGGAAGAAGGCUUUCGGGUUGUAAACUUCUUUUACCAGGGACGAAGGAUGUGACGGUACCUGGAGAAAAAGCCACGGCUAACUACGUGCC